AUUGAACGCUGGCGGAAUGCUUUACACAUGCAAGUCGAACGGCAGCACGGACUUCGGUCUGGUGGCGAGUGGCGAACGGGUGAGUAAUGUAUCGGAACGUGCCCAGUCGUGGGGGAUAACGUAGUGAAAAUUACGCUAAUACCGCAUACGAUCUAUGGAUGAAAGCGGGGGAUCGCAAGACCUCGCGCGAUUGGAGCGGCCGAUAUCAGAUUAGGUAGUUGGUGGGGUAAAGGCCCACCAAGCCAACGAUCUGUAGCUGGUCUGAGAGGACGACCAGCCACACUGGAACGGAGACACGGUCCAGACUCCUACGGGAGGCAGCAGUGGGGAAUUUUGGACAAUGGGCGAAAGCCUGAUCCAGCCAUUCCGCGUGCAGGAUGAAGGCCCUCGGGUUGUAAACUGCUUUUGUACAGAACGAAAAGGUUUCUACUAAUACUAGGAGCUCAUGACGGUACUGUAAGAAUAAGCACCGGCUAACUACGUGCCAGCAGCCGCGGUAA
rnacentral:rRNA from 1 species